rnacentral:RNase_P_RNA from 1 species
AUUAUUGGGUAAUCGAGCGCUAUUUCAAGCGUUAGGAAAGUCCAUGCUAGCACAAGCUGAGAUGCUUGUAGUGAUUGUGCUAAACGAACCGAUAAGUUUAGGCACCCUGAUAAAGAGUGACGGCGAAGAAAUGGAUGUUAAAGGCCAAAGUAUUCUUAAAGUGCCACAGUGACGAAACACAUAAAAUAUAUGUGUGUGAAACGGGUAAACCCCUCAAGCUAGAAACCCAAAUAUUGGUAGGGGCACGGCCUUGGAGGAUAAAUGAAUCCAUCCGGCUGACGGUCAAAUGACCGGAGAUAAAUGAUUACCGGCUUUCCAUAUGGCAAGCUACAGAACAUGGCUUAUAGAU